CCCCUCUAUUUCCCACCUAUUCUGUCCAUAUACCGGCUGGUGUCAUCUACCAUUACAGUCCUGAAUAUGGUUUUGGUCCCUGUUUCAAGAAGUUGUCAUUGCCAAAACUGUCGUCCUGUCUGACAACUAAUCUUGCUCUUCAGGUUCUCUUCCAUUGCUCCCUGGUCCCUUUUCUGGGGAGGUAUUGUGUUUCCAUUGCCUUUCCUAGAUCACUUGCCCUUUUUUCAGGGUGGAUGACAUCAGGGUAGAGGAAAACAGAAAAUCUAGUACUUUGAGAGAAGGUGUAGGGAGGAGGAGGUCAGUCAACUAGUUUGAGAUCUUACUGUGCUUUCCUGAGGGAACAAAAAAGAUCUUCAUCUGUAGCAGCCUGACCGAGUUGUCUGUGUUUUGAAAGUUUUGCAGGACAUGCAAACAUCAUGGAAAAUAAUGGAUCUUUUCAUGCCAUGAUACUAACAGGAGAAGAAGCAAACUUGUCUUCAUUUGCUGUAUUUGUUUUCAACAAAAAAAACAGGCAAAAAGCCUGUCACAGAACCCUCAAACCCUCCCAAACUUGCAAGUCUGAUUUUAGAAAAUGAAGUU